GUAGGAAGGCAGUCCUAGGCAAAUCGACCUUAGGAACGGAAGGUCUUGGUACUCUGCAGAGGAAGCGGGAAGGGAGAAGCAAACGGAGGGAGGAAAGAAGGAUGAGAAGGACCUAGCGGGAUGGGAAACUAGUGGAAGAAGGGCCAGUUUCGGUUACCUGGGGAGCGGGAGCAACUUCGGGUCCUUUAUGAAGUGCCCGGAGGAAGUUCCAGCACUCACGCGCCUUCCGCAUUGAGUGCAGCGCCAUCUUGAGAAGGGCGGAGCCGUCUAGUCUUGAGUGACAUCUGCUCAGAGGCGAAGUCCCAGUUUCGCAGCGUUUUUGCUUGUUGCGCAUGCGCCCUUCCCCUCGGGGCGGGCCUUUGUGCUGGUGCCUGGGGGAGUCCGGCCUUCGCUGAGCAGGUCGCGGGGUCAGGAACGGGGUGGGGCUUGGCUUUAGUAUUUGCCCUGGAGACCUAAUAUUUCCGCAGGUUUUGUGAAGGGACAGUCUCCUACGAGGAUAUUAGUAGCAGUGUUUUUUAAACUGGAAGAAAGUCAAGGAGAGGUAGGAGAUAAAUGCAGUAAGGAUGCUGAUACUCUUAAUGGAACUGAAAUCUAACAAGACUCUACGGUAGACAGAAUAAUGGACUCCAGAGAUGUCUACAUCCUAAAGCCCAGAAACAUAUGGCAAAAGGGACUUUGCAGAUGUGAUGAAGUUAAGGAUCUUGAGAUGGGGAGAUCCUUCGGAUUGUUGGCUUAACUUCUGACAUUCCUUCCCUCAGCCUCUUCAACUCUAUUAGAUUUAUUUAUUCACUCAUUUAUUAAUUCACUCAACCAGUAUUUACUAUAUAUAUUGAUAGAUCUGUUUUAGCAAAAGAAAAAGGAAGGAUAUGAAAGGGUAACUUUUACGUGUCUACGUAGUGUUUUUUAAGCCAUGGAAUUUUACUUUGGGGAUUUCUAGUGUUUUUUAAUUUAAAAGAUAGAAACAAAUAUUUUCUGAGAGAUACUCUGAGCCACACACUGUGGUAGAUACUGGAGAUAAAAGAAAAGUCUUGAACUACACACACACACAGUUUUAUAGGGGUGACAAAUGAACAGAGAAUCAGAUUGCCCCACCUCAAGCAAAUGUCACCAGGGAGGGAAGAAGGGUUUCGGUGGAGGCCCAGAGGGGGGAAUCUAACCCUGCCUGGAGGACAGCGUUGCGGUGGAGGGGUGGUGAGUAGAGAAUCCCAAAAGUAAUAUCUCCGUUGAGUAGUCUGAUCCUUAUCAAGCUUUGCCUAUCCCUGGCCUCGGGUGUUUUGCUAACCAGAGCCAGCUGUUUUGUGGAUGCCUUCUCCCCGCUGUCCUGCUGUCCCUGCCUAGUCCCUUCACUGGUCCCUGGCAUGACACAGGCAUUUUCAGGCCCUUUCCCAUGAAUCUGUUUAGAGCCAGCACCCCGUACAGCUCAAGAGGAGUCACAGCUCAUGGUGAGAUAAGGGAGGGACUUGGAAGAAAACAUGAUGAACGUGGACAAAGCCAAGGGGGAAAUAUGCAUGUUUUCAUUUGCUUUCCCCAAACAAGAUGCUUUCACACCACUUUCCAUAAUCCAAACAGUAUGUUUCUCCUUAACAUACUGUGAAGAUGUGGUGGCUAUCUGUUGUAAAGGCACACGAGACAUGUUUUUCUCCCAAGAUGGGGUUAGCACCCCUCCUGGUGCUCCCUUCAGCACCAUGUGCGCCCAUAUUUUAUAGAGUCUCUCAUACCCUAGCCCAAUCCCAUGACUGUCUGUGUUCUCCUAAGGACUCCUAAGAUCCUUCUAGAGCAGCCACCAGUCUUGUCUGAGGUUGUAUGGCACGUGCCCUGCACACAGGGAGUGCUCAAUAAAUAAUUGCUUAAUUGCACUGAAUACUGUAGAACAGUGUAGGUACUAGUUUGGGCAAAUUUUGAAACAUCUGAAGUCAAACUCUCAUUUUGGAAGGCUGAAAAAUCAUUUUCAAUUUUAAUUUAUUAUUUCUAAGAAAACAAAAAUGUUCCCACAAUUCUCAAAUUAAUAUUCACCAGUGACAUUUUCAACCUGAUUUGAGAGGCUGAGGAGGGAAUGUAGGUUGCGUACAUAAUAAAAAUUAUAUUUUAAUUGCCCUCUAACGUGUGGCUGUGUGUAAAGAAGAAACACAGGAUAUAUGAGGGAAAAAUGCUUUGAAAACUCCAAAGUGGGUUACAGAUGUUAGUUUAUGUUUUCACACAGCUAAAGCAGAAACUGCCUAUGCCCUCAGUCCCUUGCCGACUGAAGCAGACAUCAGUGUUUGGAUGGGAUACAGGCAUGGUGGGAGGAAUGGUUACUUUUUGCACAGAGAAUUCAAUUGUUCUGGGCUUAGCCAGGAUGCAGAUGGUUUUCCAUUGCUGGAAUUGGUCAGGGAUGGUGGGGGAAGCGCUUAGGCAUGGCUUUCACUGAAUUGGCUUGCAGGCUUUCAAGAAAUCUUUGAACAAUAACGCUGUUCAGGUACCUACUUGGAGAGGUCAACUGCUUGAUUCGUUUUUUUUUAAAUUCCCAUCAAACAAGUGACAGUGACACAUCUUGGUGCCAUUUCAUGCCAUCCCUGACUUCUCAGAAGCAGCUGGCGCCAGUUGUCUUCCCUGGCAGGGAUCGCUGGCCCUGGCUUUGCAACAGUCCAGAGAGCCUGCAGUUCUCCAGGGGAAUUGCAAAAUACUUUUAAAUAUUCUAAAAAUGAAAUUAAAUAUUCAUUUUAUUUUAAUUUACAUAUGCCAUCCAGUACUUUUAGAAGAUGUCAGUACUGUGGAAUGACAUGGCCAACCGUCGUAUGGUUCAGCUCUGAAAUGCAGCUGUGAGUUCUCAGCAUAAGACGCUGAUGGUCCUGUGUCCAGUGCUGUCCGAUUUUCACCUUGGCUAGUGUGCGGGUUAACCAAUAUUUAUCUUUCUGUGUGGCUGUAAAAAAUUUUACAGGUCCAAGAUGGGUCAGAUAUUAUUUCAUAAAGCCUUAUUCUAAUGAGUUCUAGUAAUUCUUAAUCUUUCUCAAAGAAAUAAUCGUCAAAUCUUCUCCAAUAACAAAAUAACGAAGCACAUUUUACAAUUGUAAGUUUUGGUGUGAGAAAACUAUUUCCUGGUCUCCAGGGUAUAGAAAGUAAACAUAUAGCAAACAAUUAGGAAUGUUAGAAUCAUGGUCGGGGAGGCAGACAUUCUGUGCAUCUCCAUCCCAAGCUCUCCACCUCAGAUUUCUUGCUCUUUUUUACUUUUUGCUUAAGCUUAUCUUGGUGUGUUGCCUGGGAGUUUAGAUGUUUUAUUAUAACACAAAAAAAUUACAUGAGACAAAGCCCAACUUGCUUUUCUUUUCCCUUCCAGUCCUAUUAUAACUUAGACAAAACUCAGCCAUUUUCUUCCAUUAUGGAGAAUGGCUACUGAAAAGGAAAGAUGUAGAAAAAAGAAAACUUUCAGGGAACAGUGAGAAACAAAUGCAUCAUGAUCUAUUUAACAGAGAACUGUGGGUAAGAGUCAUGCACAAGAACAUGGAAAUGGCUUCUUGAAAAUAUCUUUUUUUUUUCAAUUUUAAAAGGAAUGCAUGCACAUGGUAAACAAAAAUAAUUCAAAUUGUAAGAAAAAUACAAAACAAGAAGUAAAAAUUCUCUUCUC